UCAGGGCAGAACAUUCUAGAAAUGCCGCAGAGCAGACAGACCUGGGGGAGGCUCGAAAGCCCUGCCCUGUCGCCGACCCCAACGGAUUUCUUCUCAUCCUCGAGUUUCUUAGGCAGGAACACUGCUGCCCAAAGGGAGAGGUCCGGGGCUACCUGCACAGGAAAACCUCGAGACUGUUUGCCUGCAGGGCCUGAGGAAGUUCAGAACACACAAGUCAAGUUCUGCUGCUGGAGAUUCCAUCAUCAGUGAUGUGCACAUCCAGGAAUUCGAGGUUUGUCCAGCAGACCGUGUAAAGGAAGACUUCGUGGAGGUGAUCAACAUGCUUCUCCACAGCAAGCCAGACAUUUCUUCCCCUAAUCCUUCAUUCAGGUCCUCUACCUCCUCUCCUUAAGGAACAUUUAGUCCUUACUUAAUUUUUAGUUUUUAAAUGAAAUUUCAAGUUUGUAAGUAGGCCUUAUUCCCUCUGUAUCUGCCAAUAUCUCCAGCUGCCAGUACAUCAGGCAUCCUGGAUCUCCAUCAUAUUCCUACGUCGUGCCUGGAGUUUUUUCUCUGCCUCAGAGAGAAGACAUCCCUUCCUUUCUCUAGCCCAUCAAAACUGCCCUAGCUCAGACCAGUACAGGCCCCUCACUAGUCUUACCACCCGCCUCCUCCUCAUAUCUCUUUGGGAGAGGCAGAUUCCACUUUGCCUACAGACCCUCCUCUGUCUCCAAAGUUGCAGCUCUAGCACUUUGUUAUAUUCGAUUAUUAAUUCUGGCAGGUUUUGGGGGGGUAGAUUCCUUAGGAUUUUCUACACACACAAUUAUGUCAAAGAUAGGUUUUACUUUUCCUUAUCUUUAAGGCUUUUAAUUUUCUUGCCUUAAUGCUUUGGCCAGACUUCUGAUGCAAUGUCAGAAAGAAGUGAUGAGAACUACUAUCUUUUCCUUUUCUCCAGUGUUCGGAAGAUGGUGUUCAGGCUUUCACCAUUAGACAUAAAGUUAGCUGUAGGCUGUUCAUAGAUGCCCUUCAUCAGAUUAAGGUAUUUUUCUUCUAUUUCUAAUUUACUUAGAACUUUGAACAUGAGUGGGUGUUGAAUUUUGUGAAAUAUUAUUUUUUCCGUUUAU